rnacentral:rRNA from 1 species
GACGAACGCUGGCGGCGUGCCUAAUACAUGCAAGUCGAACGAAGCUGUUUUAACUGGUGCUUGCACCGACUUAAACAACUGAGUGGCGAACGGGUGAGUAACACGUGGGUAACCUGCCCCAAAGCGGGGGAUAACAUUUGGAAACAGAUGCUAAUACCGCAUAACCACAGAAACCACAUGGUUUCUGUGUCAAAGAUGGUUUCGGCUAUCACUUUGGGAUGGACCCGCGGCGUAUUAGCUAGUUGGUAAGGUAAUGGCUUACCAAGGCAAUGAUAGGUAGCGGAACUGAGGGGUUGAUCGGCCACAUUGGGACUGAGAAACGGCCCAAACUCCUACGGGAGGCAGCAGUAGGGAAUCUUCCACAAUGGACGAAAGUCUGAUGGAGCAACGCCGCGUGAGUGAAGAAGGUUUUCGGAUCGUAAAACUCUGUUGUCAGGGAAGAACGUGUGCGAGAGUAACUGCUCGUGCAGUGACGGUAUCUGGCCAGAAAGCCACGGCUAACUACGUGCCAGCCGCCGCGGUAA